CAUGGCGUGUGGGAAAACCUUCCGUUAUUGUCACAGCUCUUUCUCAUCCCUCAGGUCCUCCCUUUUCUUUUCUUCACUCCAUCGCUACCAUUCCCCCGCGCAAUCUUUCUCCUCCGCCGCCAGAUCUACCGCUGUCGAGCACGUCGUCCUCUUCAAAUUUCUCGAUUUCGCCGACCAAUCCAAGAUCGACGCCGUUAUGUCCGGCGUCCGCUCCUUGGUAUCCCUCGACGUUGUCGCCCACGUUACCGCCGGCCCCGUCCUCCACCGCCGAUCCGCCGCCGCCGGGUUCACCCACAUGCUCCACGGACGAUACCGGUCCAAAGACGACCUGGCAGCCUACUCCGCGCACCCCGCUCACGUAGCCGUCGUCAAGGAGCUCGGCCUCCCAAUCCUCGAAGACAUCUUGGCCGUCGAUUGGGUCGCUAAUAUCGAUGGCCCGAUGGUGCCCCCGCCCGGAUCGGCCAUGCGGCUGACCCUCGCGAAGGCGAAGGAGGGCGCCGAGUCGGAGCUCAAGGAGAUGCUUGCGAAAGCCAAGGCGUCGGCAUCGGCGCCGCCGGUCGGCACGCAGGUGAGUUUUGGGGAAAACUUCUCGCUGGCCAGGGCCAAGGGGUACGGCAUGGGGCUCCUGGCAGUCUUCCCCGGUAUAGAGGAGCUUGAUGCGAUGGAUGCGAGAGAGAAGAAUACGGUGGAUUCGGUGGAGGAGAAGGUUAAGCCGCUCCUGGAGAGCUCCAUUGUGCUUGAUUUCGUGGUGCCGCCACCUUCUACUGGUGAUCUUUGAUGUUUCUUCUUCGACUGCACACUACAAAGAAUUAUGUACUUGUGGCAGAUGUACUUAGAAUUAUGCUUUCAUGGAAGGAAAUUGUUAGGGAAUAAAGCCAUUUCUCCUUGAAAAUUGAACAGGAAGCAGGACUCCAUUUUCACCCUCGAACUCCUUCCAUCAAUUAGCAGGAUUAUUAUGCAGGACAAAAGACAGCUCUAUAGACAUUUGGCCUUUUGCUAUCAUCCAUCAGUCUCCCUUUGGUAAUGUAUACAUGCGUCGUCCUGUGCCCUUAAUUGGGAGGGCAUGCUGCAGUAACACUUGGGUCCUUCUCGAGUCAUUCAAAGUUACUACAUCGAAGCUCCCACGGGCAUGAUGCAGUAGUAAAAUAUUUAGAGGAACAAUAAGAGGAUCGUCAUCUCAAAUGGGAUUAAUAUCUUGAAAUUCGACUUCUAAAUGUGUCGAACCUGUGCUUUGAAUUUAUUCAGUAGGGAGGCAAUUGAAUUCCCCAUCAUCAUCUUCAGGGAACAGAAAGAUCUGCUCCUCCAAUUAAGGGUUUGCAUGGAUGUUUUGUAGUAAAGAGAGAUGGAAACGUCAACUUGAUUUUUGUGACGUGAGGUCAACCUACUAUUUUGAGUUCGAUAAUACUCGCUCGCUGCAUUGCCAAUGCUGAGAAGGUUUCCUUGCCAAUGUUAGGUCACGGGUAGCCCGUUGGUACUAUGCUUUCUGUGCAUGCCUCGGUACAUAUUAAGUCAUGCUUGAGUUGGAUUGUGCUUGUCAGUGUUAAAAAUGAUUAAUCAAAUUAAGUAAUGUUGAGUCUGAGAUGACCGGCCCGGCUCCAUAAAAAUUUUUCAUCGAUCAUUAAGAUAAAUUGAGAAGCGCUCGUAGCAUGACUAUCAUACAAUGACCACUUCAAGAUCAUCACCCAUCUGUUUCGGUAACAAAAUUAUGAAAAACAAUGGUUAACUAUCAUACAAUGACCACUUCAAGAUCAUCACCCAUCUGUUUCGGUAACAAAAUUAUGAAAAACAAUGGUUAACUAUCAUACAAUGACCACUUCAAGAUCAUCACCCAUCUGUUUCGGUAACAAAAUUAUGAAAAACAAUGGCUAACGAUUGUUUCUAGGGAAUUUUCGGUGGCUCACUUCGACCUACAAGUAUAAGUAUACAUUGCAAUAUAUUUUCCACAAAUUAUAAACAUUUUAGGCAUCCUUUCACAGUCACCUCCCAAGUGUUCGUUCCAGCUGAUCCAAAGCAACUUGUACACUUAACCAACUUGCCAAACAUAGACCGCUCGCUUAAACAUGUUUUUCAAAUGAGAAACUUCCAACUGACUAACAAUACAUACCGAUUAAUCCGAUUCACAAGGUUGCAAAAAAGCCAAAGAAAGAAAACAGAAAAGUGGCAUGGUCACAGAAAGGCUCUGCUUGAAACAAGACUGAUAAUGUCGCUGCAAUUCAAAGGAGAUCAAACCUCGCCCCUUAGAGAUGCCUUACACUUCAACACAAACCCC